CGAAACCAGGGUUUUUUGGCUCUACCAUUCUAUUUCCUGCUUUAAAUAUCGGUCUUGGUAGAGCAGGAACAGAGUAAGUUUUUCCCAGUUAGUCUGAAUCGAUUAAGAGAUUAUCAUUUGAGUGAAAAGUGAGUAAGAAGAGAUGAUGGAGAUGAGGAAAUGGGUAUCUGAGAACAAACUCACCUCAGUAGGGGCACUGUGGAGUUCAACAUUAGGGGUUUCCCUUGCUUAUAACUUCUCAAAGCCCGCCAUGAAAACCAGUCUCAAGCUUAUACACGCCAGGAUACACGCACAGGGUAUUACUCUGGCAGCACUCUCUGCAGCUGCUCUUCUUCAUCUGCAUGAACAGAAUGCCCAGCAGAAGCUUAAGCAAAAUCAUGGCAUUGCUUAGCCCCCACAAAUCUCAAAUUCAUAUGAUAUUAAUUCAUUGUAGAUCUGGUUCUGUUUGCUAUGUAGUCUAAUGUUUCAGAGCUUUUUCAUUUACUUCUUAUGUAAUCAGAUUGAAAAUGUUACAGAAAUAAGAUGUUGGAAGUACUGUAAUGUAAUUCGGCCGAUUUCCUCUAAAUUUAAUUCUCUGGAGAGUUCUACUGCUCUGUUA